rnacentral:lncRNA from 1 species
AGUUGACAUUCAGUAACGGACAGUAACUAUGACAUCAUCAGUAACGGACAGUAACUAUGACAUCAUCAGUAACAGACAGUAACUAUGAGACAGACAUGGUUUGGGGUCAAUUCAGUCAGAAAGUGCAAAUUCAAUUCAAUGAUUAAAAAAAGAAAAGAAAAUAAAUUCCAAUUGAUGCUGAUGUUGAUAUUGAAUGAACCCACAAACCCUGCUGAGACAAACUGGACAAACACGUGAGGUCAUUCCCCAACUCCUGCUGCACUACCUACCGCUUGGUGGCGGUGUGAUUACUGAACUCUAUACCAUCUAUCUAUUGGUCAACGGUCCCAAGCAACGUUCCAGCUGUGUUUCUGAGUCUGCUGCCCAUCAAACCAUGUGUUACCGGUAUACCACUGACGAUACCGUCUCAUGUUUACCGGCACAGUAGCACCGACUGCACCGUACCGUACUGUUCGUGUUUGUUAAGAGUUGAUGCUGCUGUAGGUGUGUAGAUCUUACAUCAUGCCGACAUCAUGCCCACAUUCAGAGCUAACGUAGCUAACGUAGCUAAUGUAGCUAAUAUAGCUAAGGUAGCUAAUAUAUCUAAGGUAGCUAAUAUAGCUAACGUUGUAGCUAAUGUAGCUAACGUAGCUAAUGUAGAUAAUGUAGCUAAGGUAGCUAAUAUAGCUAACGUUGUAGCUAAUGUAGCUAACGUAGCUAAUAUAGCUAACGUUGUAGCUAAUGUAGCUAACGUAGCUAAUGUAGCUAACGUUGUAGCUAAUGUAGCUAACGUAGGUAAUGUAGCUAACGUAGCUAAUGUAGCUAACGUAGCUAAUGUAGCUAAUAUAGCUAACGUUGUAGCUAAUGUAGCCAACGUAGCUAAUGUAGCUAAUGUAACUAACGUAGCAAAUGUAGCUAACGUAGUAAUGUAGCUAACGUAGCUAACGUAGCUAAUGUAGCUUAUCUUGUGUCCUGUGUGAAUUUAAGUAUGCCAACUCUAAUUCGCUCUCUCUCCCUCUCCUCAAGGAGGACCUGAGCCUUCGGGCCAUGCUUCAGGACUGCCUGGCCUGAUGACUCCUUGCUGUCCCCAGUCCACCUGGUCGUGCUGCUGCUCUAGUUUCAACUAUUCUGCCUGCGGCUAUGAAACCCUGACGUUUUCACCGGAUGUGCUACCUCGACCUGCUGUUUUCGACUCUCCCUCUCUCUACCGCACCUGCUGUCUCUAACUCUGAAUGCUCGGCUAUGAAAAGUCAACUGACAUUUACUCCUGAGGUGCUGACCUGUUGCACCCUCGACAACCACUGUGAUUAUUAUUAUCUGACCCUGCUGGUCAUUUAUGAACAUUAGAACAUCUUGGCCAUGUUCAGUUAUAAUCUCCACCCGGCACAGCCAGAAGAGGACUGGCCACCCCUCAAAGCCUGGUUCCUCUCUAGGUUUCUUCCUAAGGAUUCUGAGCCUCUUCUCUUCCCGUAGCCGCUGCUCCUCCUCUUCCUGGUCCUGUCGACACUUGUGGAAGUUCUCCACGACCACACCCACGAACAUGUUGAGGACGAAGAAACUGACGAUGAGGAGGAAGGAGAUGAAGUAGAGGAGCAUCCACGGG